rnacentral:rRNA from 1 species
AUGGUUGCAGCAGCCGGAGGCACCGGUCGCCCAGUCAUCGCCGGCCCUAGGAUGUUCUAUGGUUUGGCUGACCAGAAGUGGGAGAUAAGGUUUCAUUUAGAAGGAAGAAACCCUGUGAAAAAGGGUAUAUAUGAGACAGACAUUUCUUUUCUUACUCUACAAUCACUCAUUGCUAGUGAAGGUUAUGGGGAGAGUGAUUACAUGUACUAUGUGAAGGAGGAGGAAAUUGGAUCUGAAAGAGUAAAGUAUUUAGGUAAUUAA